rnacentral:misc_RNA from 1 species
GGUUCAAUUUUUUAUACUUUCAAUUUAUUCUUUGUUUGUUUUUAUAACAUAUUUUUCACUUCAUUGAGAUGUGUGUUGAGCCAGUUUUCAGGCUCUCUGUUUUACUAUCGUCAGAAUUUUGUUUGUCUUACAUUCAUGGCGGCAUUCAACACUGGUGCUCGUUGCUUAAAUAAUGCAUUUAUUUUUCCUACUAAAUUGUUUUCUUCAAUUUUGUACGCGACUUGUACCUUUUACAUCGUUUAGACAGAGAUGAUAUUUUUGACGCAAGCUGUAAGCUCAUUUGAGCGCUUGAUAUACCUACAGGUCUUCAUAUAUACCUACUUCUCUGAAAAAAAUAUAAUUUAUCCUCUGAAUCAUUUAUGAGUGAAUGAAUACAUAAAAGAUCACUAAAGCGCCAGUCGCUGCUGUCAUUUCAGUUGUUCCCUAUUAUCACUAUUAUUUAUGCUUUCAUUCUGAGCAGGCUUUCGCUUCAUCACAAGCAUUGGCUUUCUGUCAUGAUUUGCCAAGCAGCAUUUUGAUUGCACCCAUGUUUGCGGUGUCAUUUUUCAAUCGUAAUUUUAAUACGAAAGUUAAAUCCUACAUCAAAUACAUUAAAAACCCUAAUAAAUUCACUUCCCAAAUAAAUAAUUAACUGUAUUUCUUUCAAUCCUUGCUUCAUUUAAAAGCUAGGCUAUGCUUUUCCCUUAAACUGCCUAGAUAAUCAGUUAGGUUAGUCGUAGACAAUAGAAAAUCAGGCAGACACACACGCUAUGUCCGGAGACAGCGACCUGCUACGAGACGGAUUCUCGUUUCCUACGAAGUUGAUAUCGGCGGCUAUACAAAGGAGUCUGGACGGCCACGGUGUCAAAAUAAAUGCAACGUCUACUAAACUUCUUGCCGAGGUGUGUCGCGUAGUGACGA